GACAGAGGGUGCAAACGUUGUUCGGAAUUACUGGGCGUAAAGCGCGUGUAGGCUGCUCGGAAAGUCGGAUGUGAAAGCCCUGGGCUCAACCUAGGAAGUGCAUUCGAAACUUCCGAGCUGGAGUGCUGGAGAGGAAGGCGGAAUUCUCGGUGUAGAGGCGAAAUUCGUAGAUAUCGAGAGGAACACCGGUGGCGAAGGCGGCCUUCUGGACAGUGACUGACGCUGAGACGCGAAAGCGUGGGGAGCAAACAGG
rnacentral:rRNA from 1 species